GCAGUCGAGCGGCAGCACAGAGGAACUUGUUCCUUGGGUGGCGAGCGGCGGACGGGUGAGUAAUGCCUGGGAAAUUGCCCGGUAGAGGGGGAUAACCAUUGGAAACGAUGGCUAAUACCGCAUAACCUCGCAAGAGCAAAGCAGGGGACCUUCGGGCCUUGCGCUACCGGAUAUGCCCAGGUGGGAUUAGCUAGUUGGUGAGGUAAGGGCUCACCAAGGCGACGAUCCCUAGCUGGUCUGAGAGGAUGAUCAGCCACACUGGAACUGAGGCACGGUCCAGACUCCUACGGGAGGCAGCAGUGGGGAAUAUUGCACAAUGGGCGCAAGCCUGAUGCAGCCAUGCCGCGUGUAUGAAGAAGGCCUUCGGGUUGUAAAGUACUUUCAGUAGGGAGGAAGGUGGUUAAGUUAAUACCUUAAUCAUUUGACGUUACCUACAGAAGAAGCACCGGCUAACUCCGUGCCAGCAGCCGCGGUAAUACGGAGGGUGCAAGCGUUAAUCGGAAUUACUGGGCGUAAAGCGCAUGCAGGUGGUUUGUAAAGUCAGAUGUGAAAGCCCUGGGCUCAACCUAGGAAUCGCAUUUGAAACUGACAAGCUAGAGUACUGUAGAGGGGGGUAGAAUUUCAGGUGUAGCGGUGAAAUGCGUAGAGAUCUGAAGGAAUACCGGUGGCGAAGGCGGCCCCCUGGACAGAUACUGACACUCAGAUGCGAAAGCGUGGGGAGCAACAGGAUAGAUACCUGGUAGUCACGCCGUAA
rnacentral:rRNA from 1 species